rnacentral:piRNA from 1 species
UACUUCAAGGUCUCCCUCGGCUCUAGCUUU